AGUCUCGAGAGCAGCCCAGGACUAAGGCUUGGGAGGAUGGUCAAGGCUUAGAGGAAGGGGCAGGGAAGAAGUCCAUGCAGUUUCCGUGUGGUCGUCCAAGUCCUCUUCGAGAGAUAAUCAGUACAAGCCACCUUGGAGGGAGGUCCUGAGGGGCUCAGAGGGGAGUAAAGUUCAGGAGCUUCAGAGGCUGGACUUUGGGCCACCCACCUUCCUCGGGCUGCUGACAGGCCUUUUUUGUAUCUUCCAUGGCUCUUGGCUUCAUGCCAUCUAGGAUGUGGUUGGCCAUGGCUCUUGGUCUUUUUCCUGCUUCAGAGCCUGGUGUCAGAAGUUCUCCCCAAGGAAUACAUUUUGCCAUCCUUCCUGCCAAUCAGAAAGGGGAAAGGGGGAAAAACAGCUGGCCUAGGAUCCCGGCCCCCGCCUGAAGUCACAUCCUCUCCAAUGGCAUGUUUUGAUAUUUGCUUCAACUGCCCCUCCCUCUAGUUUUACACUCCGGCCCUUUCUUCCUCCUAUCGCGUUUCCCCAGCCAGUUUCCUUGAAUCAUCUCUGGCAACUGCUUAUAUCUGUGCUUCCCCACCAGGUGCCCAUCCUCUGAUCAGGAAGCGACCCACUUGCCAGUCAACUUUGUCCCACACCCACCUUCUCCCAGUUCCACCCUGUCCUCAAGGGUGGGGACCCCCUCCUCCUCCCUGAGACAUUGAGGGCAGAGAAAAGAGGUGGAGCUGCUUGAAUCCUCAUCCAAAGACUUAUUAAAAGCUUGCAUCUCUGUCUGUUUCAUUGUCACCCCCUCUAGUCUCUCCGUUUCCUUCCAACAGAGAAGUGGGUCCAUUCUUGG
rnacentral:lncRNA from 1 species